rnacentral:sRNA from 1 species
UUGCAUUCAGCGCCUGAGAGGAUGAGAACCUCCGGGGGCAAGAGGUUCGACUCGAGCGGAGCGAGAGAACGUUGCGACAGCAACGGCCCGCAGGGCGAGCCACGACGUGGCGAGUUAUCCUCUAUCACCGACCA